rnacentral:rRNA from 1 species
CCUACGGGUGGCAGCAGUCGAGAAUCAUUCACAAUGGGGGAAACCCUGAUGGUGCGACGCCGCGUGGGGGAAUGAAGGUCUUCGGAUUGUAAACCCCUGUCAUGUGGGAGCAAAUUAAAAAGAUAGUACCACAAGAGGAAGAGACGGCUAACUCUGUGCCAGCAGCCGCGGUAAUACAGAGGUCUCAAGCGUUGUUCGGAAUCACUGGGCGUAAAGCGUGCGUAGGCUGUUUCGUAAGUCGUGUGUGAAAGGGGCGGGCUCAACCCGCGGACGGCACAUGAUACUGCGAGACUAGAGUAAUGGAGGGGGAACCGGAAUUCUCGGUGUAGCAGUGAAAUGCGUAGAUAUCGAGGGGAACACUCGUGGCGAAGGCGGGUUCCUGGACAUUAACUGACGCUGAGGCACGAAGGCCAGGGGAGCGAAAGGGAUUAGAUACCCUAGUAGUC